UUACAGCAAUCGAGUUUAAUACUAGAACUACUGGACCAGUCAUUUUGACUGGAACGCUUCAUUUUCAUCUUUUUAUUUUUUGGAGUUAAUCAAUUGUGUGGUCUGCAAUAAACAAUUAAAUAUAUUACAACUCUUCGAAAUUGUUUAAAAAUUAACUUUGAAUGAUAAACGCGUAAACCGAUUGGUAGUGCUAGUGUUAAAUAGGCUUGCUUUUGAUCUAUUUAUUGGUUUUGUAAAUAUGAUGUUUAAAUAUGAUUACAAAACAAUUUAACGUUUAACCAAUUUCGUAUGUAAUAUACUUGCCUGAUAGUAACUAGUAUGCCUGAAAGACACUGAAGGAUAGAAUUGAGGAUCUAAUUAACAGCUUGAAUGUUUACUAGCGCAACAUACUUCAAAAACCGAAUAUUGCUUAAGAAGAUAUUAAAACAAGAAAUCAUUUCCAGAGAGGCGUAUCUCUCUUCUCUCUCUUCUUGGCUUUUAACGACCUUACAACAGGUCACGCCGGCCAUUUCUGGCUUACUAGACUUAUUUUUACCACGUAGCCGGAUAGUCAGUCCUUGCUACGGGGGGACGGUCCGAAUAGGCAAUGGAUACGAAUGGUUUAUAUAGUGUAAAAUCCAAUAUUAAAAUAAUGUAUGCACAAACUUAUAGAAAUAAAAAUACAUAAAAAG